GAUGAACGCUGGCGGCGUGCCUAAUACAUGCAAGUUGAGCGAACGGACGAGAAGCUUGCUCCUCUGAUGUUAGCGGCGGACGUGUGAGUAACACGUGGAUAACCUACCUAUAAGACUGGGAUAACUUCGGGAAACCGGAGCUACUACCGGAUAAUAUUUCGAACCGCAUGGUUCAAAAGUGAAAGACGGUCUUCCUGUCACUUAUAGAUGGUUCCGCGCUGCAUUAGCUAGUUGGUAAGGUAACGGCUUACCAAGGCAACGAUGCAUAGCCGACCUGAGAGGGUCAUCAACCACACUAUAACUGAGCCACGGUCCAGACUACUACGAGAGGCAGCAGACGGGGCUCUGCCGCAAUGAGCGAAAGCCUAACAGAGGAACACCGCGUGUGUGAUGAAAGUCUUCGGAACGUAAGACACUGUUAUUAAGAGAGAGCAUAUGUGAGAGUAACUGUGCACACCUUGACGUUACCUAAUGAGAAGGCCACGGCUAGCUACAUG
rnacentral:rRNA from 1 species